AUUGAACGCUGGCGGCAGGCCUAACACAUGCAAGUCGAGCGGAUGAAGGGAGCUUGCUCCUGGAUUCAGCGGCGGACGGGUGAGUAAUGCCUAGGAAUCUGCCUGGUAGUGGGGGAUAACGUCCGGAAACGGGCGCUAAUACCGCAUACGUCCUGAGGGAGAAAGUGGGGGAUCUUCGGACCUCACGCUAUCAGAUGAGUCUAGGUCGGAUUAGCUAGUUGGUGGGGUAAAGGCCUACCAAGGCGACGAUCCGUAACUGGUCUGAGAGGAUGAUCAGUCACACUGGAACUGAGACACGGUCCAGAGUCCUACGGGAGGCAGCAGUGGGGAAUAUUGGACAAUGGGCGAAAGCCUGAUCCAGCCAUGCCGCGUGUGUGAAGAAGGUCUUCGGAUUGUAAAGCACUUUAAGUUGGGAGGAAGGGCAGUAAGUUAAUACCUUGCUGUUUUGACGUUACCAACAGAAUAAGCACCGGCUAACUUCGUG
rnacentral:rRNA from 1 species